CGCAGAGCCGGGAUAUUGCUUUAGUGGUGAGAGCGAAGAAGGAGGUAACAAUAUCGGCGAUCGGAAAUCGACAGUAGAAGCCGUUAUCUGAGGUGGAGUGCUUCUACUAUCACAGAAAAAGACAUAUCAAGCGCAACUGUCAGGAACUUCAAAAUGAUCUGAAGGAGUUAAAGCGACAGAAGGAGAAAACUGUCAUGAACUAGGACGAUGCGAUAACAACGAUGGCACAGGCGGUAGAAUCGAAGAUGAUCGAUUCUGACGUGUUAUAUGCCGCGACCGAGGUGCUAAAAUUUCGGAUGACGCGUGAGUGCUCGAUUCGGCAUGUUCCUUUCAUGUCUG
rnacentral:lncRNA from 1 species